UACGAAGGGGGCUAGCGUUGCUCGGAAUCACUGGGCGUAAAGGGCGCGUAGGCGGCCAUUUAAGUCGGGGGUGAAAGCCUGUGGCUCAACCACAGAAUUGCCUUCGAUACUGGGUGGCUUGAGUCCGGAAGAGGUUGGUGGAACUGCGAGUGUAGAGGUGAAAUUCGUAGAUAUUCGCAAGAACACCGGUGGCGAAGGCGGCCAACUGGUCAGGAACUGACGCUGAGGCGCGAAAGCGUGGGGAGCAAACAGG
rnacentral:rRNA from 1 species